rnacentral:rRNA from 1 species
UGGGGAAUAUUGGACAAUGGGCGCAAGCCUGAUCCAGCAAUGCCGCGUGGAUGAAGAAGGUUUUCGGAUUGUAAAGUCCUUUCGGCGGGGACGAUGAUGACGGUACCCGCAGAAGAAGCCCCGGCUAACUUCGUGCCAGCAGCCGCGGUAAUACGAAGGGGGCUAGCGUUGCUCGGAAUGACUGGGCGUAAAGGGCGCGUAGGCGGAGUGCUUUGUCGGGCGUGAAAUUCCAGGGCUUAACCUUGGGGCUGCGUUCGAGACGGGUAUUCUAGAGUGUGGAAGAGGGUCGUGGAAUUCCCAGUGUAGAGGUGAAAUUCGUAGAUAUUGGGAAGAACACCGGUGGCGAAGGCGGCGACCUGGUCCAAGACUGACGCUGAGGCGCGAAAGCGUGGGGAGCAAACA